GGUGAGAUGGCCCGAGCGGUCUAAGGCGCCAGACUAAGGAUCAAGGCGCUAGGCGUCUAUUCAAUUUCUCAUCUUCCCUAUUCGUAGGGAUGAAGUAGAUUAUCUGGUCCGAAAGGGCGUGGGUUCGAAUCCCACUCUCAUCA